rnacentral:rRNA from 1 species
AUUGAACGCUGGCGGCAGGCCUAACACAUGCAAGUCGAACGAGUGGCGGACGGGUGAGUAAUGUCUGGGAAACUGCCCGAUGGAGGGGGAUAACUACUGGAAACGGUAGCUAAUACCGCAUACCAUCGGAUGUGCCCAGAUGGGAUUAGCUAGUAGGGGGGUUAACGGCUCACCUAGGCGACGAUCCCUAGCUGGUCUGAGAGGAUGACCAGCCACACUGGAACUGAGACACGGGCCAGACUCCUACGGGAGGCAGCAGUGGGGAAUAUUGCACAAUGGGCGCAAGCCUGAUGCAGCCAUGCCGCGUGUAUGAAGAAGGCCUUCGGGUUGUAAAGUACUUUCAGCGGGGAGGCGUUACCCGCAGAAGAAGCACCGGCUAACUCCGUGCCAGCCGCCGCGGUAAUAC